AAACAGCAUAAUCAUAUUAUUCGAUUGUAUUGCAUCAUUUGCCGACAUUGGUUAAAACGUAAGGGUAUUGAAUUUGUGGUACGUACAAACAUUAGCAACGUAGGUUCUUCUUGGGACAAUACAAAAUGGGAAGCAAUAACGUGAAGAUGCCUGAAGAAACUGAAUCAAAGAAGUUGAAACCUUGUUGCGCAUGUCCGGAAACAAAGAAAGCUAGAGACGCCUGUAUAAUUGAAAAUGGAGAAGAAAACUGUAAAUCAUACAUUGAUGCCCAUAAAGAGUGCAUGAGAAAAAUGGGUUUUAAUAUUUGAAAAUGACUUCAGUGCAUUUGCCCUUCAACAGUAAUAUUUAUUAUCUUUAGUUGUACCUGUCAAAGUAUUCAAUGUGCAGAAUUGAAGUGACACUGAGGAAGAGUCACAGAGAUAAGUAUGUGUAAAUUACGGUGUUUCCCAGUUGUAUAAACAUUCAUUGCAUUAUAAUUAUUUUGUCUAAUGUUUCUUGUUGGAAUCACAAUUAACUUUUAUCAUACAGAUAUAAUUGAUUUAAAUUCCUCUACUAUAGGCCUGCUAGCAGGUCAACUCAAAGAGUUCAGUAGUAUAUCAGUAUGAUGCAUAACCAGCUGCAUCACAAGACACCAGUAAAGCUUAGGAGAAUUAUGCCUAAUCUUUGCAUAUUCUGUUUUUAUGUUCAGAGUUUUAUGCUCUGAAUCCUUUGUCAUGCCAAACUACUAAUAUAUAAUAAAAUAAAUUUUGUCUUUGAUGCUUAACCCAAGAAUAUUUAAAUUAAGUACCCCAGUAUCGUAAUGCAAUGAACAGUGAUAAUUAUUGUUAUUUAUUAUGAUUAUGAAUGUUAUUAGAAUAACUCUCAGACUGUCACUGGAAGAAUGAGCAAUAAAACCAAUCCUUUAAAGAAAGUAUUGACAGUGCAAUUAAAAUUACUUAAAAUGUAAAGAAAAACUGCAUUUACAACUGACCAGUUCAUUGUGUAAACUUAUCUAGUAUAAGAAAGUCUAAGGCAGUCAUAAGGACUUGUUUGACUAAUUGCAUUUUUGUUCAUAAUUGCCUUUUGUGAAAGUAUAAUGUACUACUUCAAAUUGUCCCAUGUCCUGAUUGGAUUCCUAGUUGAAGGGAUGUUGAAUUUUGUAGUUGUAAUUAAAUUGUGAAAUGUGUAAAUAAAAUACUGUAUAUAAGCAAUUUGUGAUCCCAUGCCAGAUUUGUAGUUUUUGAUCAGUGUGAAAAUAAAAGUUUUCCAGAAAUAUGAUGGAAAAAAGGCAUCAAGCAGUUGUACAGCAUGAUUGGUUGAUUGAUUAAUUGUAUGUUAGCUAAUAAAAUUGUCACCAUCUUGA